rnacentral:rRNA from 1 species
CCUACGGGUGGCAGCAGUGAGGAAUAUUGGUCAAUGGGCGCGAGUCUGAACCAGCCAAGUAGCGUGAAGGAUGACUGCCCUAUGGGUUGUAAACUUCUUUUAUAUUGGAAUAAAGUGUUGCACGUGUGGCUUUUUGUAUGUACCUUAUGAAUAAGGAUCGGCUAACUCCGUGCCAGCAGCCGCGGUAAUACGGAGGAUCCGAGCGUUAUCCGGAUUUCUUGGGUUUAAAGGGAGCGUAGAUGGGUUGUUAAGUCAGUUGUGAAAGUGUGCGGCUCAACCGUAAAAUUGCAGUUGAAACUGGCAGCAUUGAGUACAGUAGAGGUAGGCGGAAUUCGUGGUGUAGCGGUGAAAUGCUUAGAUAUCACGAAGAACUCCGAUUGCGAAGGCAGCCUACUGGACUGCCACUGACACUGAGGCUCGAAAGUGUGGGUAUCAAACAGGAUUAGAUACCCGGGUAGUC